CCUACGGGGGGCUGCAGUGGGGAAUAUUGGGCAAUGGGGGCAACCCUGAUCCAGCCAUGCCGCGUGUGUGAAGAAGGCCCUCGGGUUGUAAAGCACUUUCAGUGAGGAAGAACGCCUGGUGGUUAAUACCCAUCAGGAAAGACAUCACUCACAGAAGAAGCACCGGCUAACUCCGUGCCAGCAGCCGCGGUAAUACGGAGGGUGCGAGCGUUAAUCGGAAUUACUGGGCGUAAAGCGCGCGUAGGUGGCUUGAUAAGCCGGUUGUGAAAGCCCCGGGCUCAACCUGGGAACGGCAUCCGGAACUGUCAAGCUAGAGUGCAGGAGAGGAAGGUAGAAUUCCCGGUGUAGCGGUGAAAUGCGUAGAGAUCGGGAGGAAUACCAGUGGCGAAGGCGGCCUUCUGGACUGACACUGACACUGAGGUGCGAAAGCGUGGGUAGCAAACAGGAUUAGAUACCCUUGUAGUC
rnacentral:rRNA from 1 species